rnacentral:rRNA from 1 species
AGUGAACGCUGGCGGUAGGCCUAACACAUGCAAGUCGAACGGCAGCACAGUAAGAGCUUGCUCUUACGGGUGGCGAGUGGCGGACGGGUGAGGAAUACAUCGGAAUCUACUUUUUCGUGGGGGAUAACGCAGGGAAACUUACGCUAAUACCGCAUACGACCUACGGGUGAAAGCAGGGGAUCUUCGGACCUUGCGCGAUUGAAUGAGCCGAUGUCGGAUUAGCUAGUUGGCGGGGUAAAGGCCCACCAAGGCGACGAUCCGUAGCUGGUCUGAGAGGAUGGACAACCCAACUGGGACUGGAGAAAGGGCCAAGCUUCUAAGGGGAGGAGGAAUGGGGGAUUUUUGGCAAAGGGGGGCAAGCUGGACCAGGCAAUACCGGUGGGGUGAAGAAGGCCUUCGGGUUGUAAAGCCCUUUUGUUGGGAAAGAAAAGCAGCAGGUUAAUACCCCGCUGUUCUGACGGUACCCAAAGAAUAAGCACCGGCUAACUUCGUG